GUCUAUGCAUUUGGGAAUUGGAAAACCUCAGUUUGAGCCCUGGCUCUGCCCUUUAUUACUUCUGUGACUUCAAUAAAAUGACUUAUUUUCACUUUCCUUAUCCUUCAACUAGGGGUAAAAAUGGUGCCUCCCUGGUAGCCUGACUGGGAGCAAUUGACCACAUAACCCAGGUACAAAUCUAAGCACAGGGCCUUGACCACAGUAAACAUUAAAAGUUAGUGAUGUGUUGAGCAUUGUUAUUAGUAAUGGCAUUUUUUACUCAUUUUGCUCUAGGGUCAGGAGAUUCAAGACCAGGUGGCAUCUUCUGCAGAGGACACCACUUUCCAAAGACAUGGCUUGGUUCUUCAUAGAUGAUAGGAGAGUUAAGUUCAAUCUCUCUCCCCUACUGCAACUACCUUGAGUAAAGUCUUCCUGCCAUUUCUCUUGGAUGGUACCCACCUCGGGAGCUUGUUUCUUCUUCCCCUGCCUCCGCUCCAGCCACUCCAGCACACAGGUGAGAAGAGACUAGAGAGAGCUCCACCAUGUGAAGAUGUAGUGAGAAGGUGUCACCAGGAAAUGGGUUCAGCAGACAACGGAAUCUGUCAGAGCCUUAAUUUUGGAUUUCCUAGGCUUCAAAAAUGUGAUAAAUGAAUGUUUGUUGUUUAUAAGCUACCCACUUUGUGGUAUUUUGUCAUAGGCCCAAAUGGAUUAAGAUAAGGGCUUUGGACCAGAGAAAUAUGCCUGUGCAAAGGCCCUGUGACAAGCGGGAGGCAUGGCACUAACAACAGAAGGCAAGGGUGACUAGAGUACCAGAGGCAAAGAGGCAAUGGUACAGAGGUGGCCAGAGGCCAGGCCAUCCAGGAACUUGGUAGCCACAGGUUCUGCUCAGACUGGGAAGGGAAAGGGAGCAAAGGAAAACAAUAAAGGAAUUCAAAAAAAGGGGAGGGAGUGGCAUGGUCAGGCUUCCCUUUUUUGCUCUAGUAAACUUCUAUUGAAGGAAAUUAUAUAUACAAAAAUGUGCCAGAAUCACAAAUGAAGACAUCUAUGUAACCAGUACCCCAGAAUCUUCCAUACAGCCCCUGGUAGUUAUUACCACCCUCCAAGGGUAAACAUCAUCUUAUCAUCCAAUUUCUUUUUUUUUUUUUUUGAGACAGAGUCUCGCUCUGUCACCCAGGCUAGAGUCGGCUUACUGCAACCUCCGUCCCCCAGGUUCAAGCGAUUCUCCUGCCUCAGCCUCCUGAGUAGCUGGGAUUACAGGCGCACUGUAAUUUUUGUAUUUUUAGUAGAGACGGGGUUUCACCAUGUUGGCCAGGCUGGUCUUGAACUCCUGACCUCGUGAUCCACCUGUCUCGGCCUCACAAAGUGCUGGGAUUACAGGCGUGAGCCACCGUGUCCGGCCUUAUUAUCCAAUAUCAAACUUUUUCUUCCUGUUAUUGAGUUAAAUAUAAACCAAAUAAUAUGCAUGUGAUAUUUUACAUCUGGAUUUAUUAAUUUUGCAAUAUAUUUGUAAGAUUUUAGAAAUAAUGAAUUAUUUUGUCUUUGUUUAUAUGGUAAUGUCUUUAUUUUACCUUCAUUCUUGAAGAAAGAUUUUCUGGAUAAUGGAACUCUUGGUUAACAGUUUUUUCAUUUGAUUGCUUUUUGCCCUCUAUUGUUUUAUAUGGGAAGCCAGCUGUUAACUGCAUUUUUGCCUCUUGUAGUAAUAAGUCAUUUUUCUCUUGCUUGUUUUUCUAUUUCUUUCUGUCUUCUGACUGCUUGCCUAUGAUUUGUCUAGGUGUGGAUCUCUACAUAUUUAUCCUACUUGAGGUUUAUUGAACAUUUUGGAUGUGUAUUUAAUUUUUUUUUAAGUCAAAUUCUGAAAGUUUUUGGCCACUGGUUUUUCCAUAUGUUUUCUGCUCCUUCCUUUUUAUUUUCUACUUCUGGUUUUCUCAUUAUACAUCUGUUGGCUUGAUGUUGUCCCACUGGCCCCUAUGGUUCUGUUCCUUUUACUUCAAACAUUUUUUUUCUCUGUCUUCCUCAGAUAGAUACUUUCUAUCACUCUAUCUUCGAGUUCAUUGAUCUCUUCCUCUGCCAUAUAUAAUCUGUUGUAAUAGAUCUUCACAGUAAAAUUGUAAUUUAUGCUUUUCAACACCAGAAUUUCCAUUUCUUUCUUUAUAAUUUCUAUCUCCUUAUUUAGAAUCUUUCUCUGUUGAUUGUUUAUUAUCAUAAUUUUAUUUACAAAUUUAAACAGUUCUUUGAGCAUAUUUAGAGUAGCUAUUUGAAAUCUUUGCUAAAUACAGAAUCUAGGAAAACUCAGAGACAAGUUCUACUAUCUGCUAUUUUCCUCAGUAUAUGUCACACUUUCCUGUUUCUUUGCAUAUCUUGUAAUUUUCUGUUGAAAACUGGGCAUUGAAAAUAUUGCAAUGGAUAUGUUAAUUGAUAUGUCAUGAAUAUGUUAAUUAUCUUGAUGUAGCUGUUCCAUAAUGUAUCAUUAUGUUGUACACCACUAAUAUAUACAGUUUUAUUUGCCAAUUAAAAAAAUUACAGCAACU
rnacentral:lncRNA from 1 species